rnacentral:rRNA from 1 species
UACGUAGGGGGCUAGCGUUGUCCGGAAUCAUUGGGCGUAAAGCGCGUGUAGGCGGUCCGGUAAGUCCGCUGUGAAAGUCCGGGGCUCAACCCCGGAUCUGCCGUGCCGACUGUCAAACUCGAGGGCUGUAGAGGCAGACGGAAUUCCGGGUGUAGCGGUGGAAUGCGUAGAGAUCCGGAGGAAGACCGGUGGCGAAGGCGGUCUGCUGGGCAGUUUCUGACACUGAGGCGCGACAGCGUGGGGAGCAAACAGG